rnacentral:rRNA from 1 species
GAUGAACGCUGGCGGCAUGCCUUACACAUGCAAGUCGAACGGUAGCGUGGAGAGCUUGCUCUCUGAUGGCGAGUGGCGAACGGGUGAGUAAAGCAUCGGAACGUACCGUGUAGUGGGGGAUAACGUAGCGAAAGUUACGCUAAUACCGCAUACGCACUGAGGUGGAAAGCAGGGGAUCGUAAGACCUUGCGCUAUACGAGCGGCCGAUGUCAGAUUAGCUAGUUGGUAGGGUAAAGGCCUACCAAGGCGACGAUCUGUAGCGGGUCUGAGAGGAUGAUCCGCCACACUGGGACUGAGACACGGCCCAGACUCCUACGGGAGGCAGCAGUGGGGAAUUUUGGACAAUGGGGGCAACCCUGAUCCAGCCAUGCCGCGUGGGUGAAGAAGGCCUUCGGGUUGUAAAGCUCUUUCGGCCGGGAAGAAAUCGCACAGGCUAAUACCCUGUGUGGAUGACGGUACCGGCAUAAGAAGCACCGGCUAACUACGUGCCAGCCGCCGCAGUAA